rnacentral:lncRNA from 1 species
UUUAUUUCAUGAUUUGAGCUUUGUCGCCGGUACUGAUGAUCUCUGGCGCGGCGGAGUGGGAAAGUUUAAAUUUUGUUUUGUUUUGAGUUUGCUUCAAGAAAGGGAAGAGAGUUUUCUGAAUGAUUUGUUUUGGUUUGGGCCCUUAACACUUGGGCCUAACUGUUUUCUUCUUUUCAUCACCCCACCUUGAUGUCUGCACCCCAUUUUUUGUUUCAUUUUUU